rnacentral:rRNA from 1 species
CCUACGGGAGGCAGCAGUGGGGAAUUUUUCGCAAUGGGGGAAACCCUGACGAAGCAACGCCGCGUGGAGGAUGAAGGCCUUCGGGUCGUAAACUCCUGUCGACCGGGACGAAGGUACCCGACCUAAUACGUCGGAGUAUUGACUGUACCGGUGGAGGAAGCCACGGCUAACUCUGUGCCAGCAGCCGCGGUAAUACAGAGGUGGCAAGCGUUGUUCGGAAUUACUGGGCGUAAAGGGCGCGUAGGCGGUCCGAUAAGUCCCGUGUGAAAUCCCUCGGCUCAACUGAGGAACCGCACGGGAAACUGCCGGGCUUGAGUUCGGGAGAGGGAAGCGGAAUUCCGGGUGUAGCGGUGAAAUGCGUAGAUAUCCGGAGGAACACCGGUGGCGAAGGCGGCUUCCUGGACCGACACUGACGCUGAGGCGCGAAAGCUAGGGGAGCA